UGCACAGAUUAGAGAUGAAGUCAGUUAUAAAUAGGAAGAAGAGUGGCAGUUUUUAUCACUUGAAUAAAACAAGUAACUUUAUUACAAUACAUUUUAAAACUCAUAAAAUCAGUAAUAAGGAAGCAAGAUUACUGUAGACGUAUUUUAUGGUACUGGCUGGACAACACUAUGGAAGGAUAUACAAGGAUACUAUAGCUUUACUUGUUUUAUUAUACCCUUUGAACCAACAGUACGUAAGGACAUGUAAGGUUACUAUAGCUUUACUUGUUUUAUUAUACCCUUUGAACCAACGGUACGUAAGGACAUGUAAGGUUACUAUGGUGUUACUUGUUUUAUUAUACCCUAUGAACCAACAGUAAGGAAGGACAUGCAAGGUUACUAUAGCUUUAAUUAUUUUAUACCUUCCAAACCAAUAAGAACAUGUAACGUUACUAUAGCUUUAUUUAUUUUAUUAUACUCUUUGAACCAGCAGCAUGUAAGAACAUGAAAGGUUACUAUAGCUUUACUUGUUUUAUUAUACCUUCCAGGCCAUCACUGUGGAAGGAUAUACAAGGUUACUAUGGCUUUACUUGUUUUAUUAUACCUUCCAGGCCAUCACUGUGGAAGGACAUACAAGGUUACUAUAGCUUUACUUGUUAUAUUAUACCUUCCAGGCCAUCACUGUGGAAGGAUAUACAAGGUUACUAUGGCUUUACUUGUUUUAUUAUACCUUCCAGGCCAACACUGUGGAAGGACAUACAAGGUUACUCUAGCUUUACUUGUUAUAUUAUACCUUCCAGGCUAUCACUGUGGAAGGAUAUACAAGGUUACUAUAGCUUUACUUGUUUUAUUAUACCCUUCAAACCAACAGUACAUAAUGAUAUAGAAUGUUACUAAAACUUUACUUGUUUUAUUAUACUCUUCAAACCAACAGUACAUAAUGAUAUACAAUGUUACUAUAGCUUUACUUGUUUUAUUAUAGCCUUCAAACCAACAGUACAUAAUGAUAUACAAUGUUACUAUAGCUUUAUCUGUUAUAACUUCUGGGCCAACAAUAUGUUAAGACAUACAGGGUUACUAUUGCUUUUCUUGUUUUAUUAUACCUUCCAGGCUAACACUAUGUAAGGACAUACAGGGUUACUAUAGCUUUAUCUGUUUUGUUAUACUGUUUAGACAGCACUGUGUAAAGUGAUAUGUUUGUGUAUUUUUUAAGAUAGAUUACCAACAAAACAUCAGAAGAUAAAACAAAUUGACAUUAAUUUAUUUUUCAAAGAAAGAUUUAAGCUAUACUAAGGCCACAAUGUCACUUGACUCAGUAGUUUUUUUCAGUUUUGUUCAUUAUUUGUACUCCUAUGUUCAUUCUAUAUGUACUUGUUUUCACUAUAGUCCUGUGAUUUUGAUGCAUAAGCCACUUUCAAGCAAAAAGUGUUAAAACACUUUUCUUACAGUGGUCUUGGCUUUUACCCAGAUAAAAUGGAAGAACCCAUUACUUAAAGUAAUCAAGAUUACUUGUGUUUAAUGUUACAUGAAAAGAAAGUGAGCAUUUUUCUGGCCAGUAAACUGUCAAUAAAACUGAUUUGCAUUAUUUAGUUCACUAUAUAAGUUCAGAUAACUUAUUUAAUUACUUCUUACCUUUCCUUUUACAAAUAUAUAGAUACUAUAAGGUAGGAUUUACAGUGCCGCUAGAUGUCGCACAUAGAAAAUGUACAAUAGAUGUAUGGUUUAUUUUUGUCAUGCUUAUAAACACCGUAUUCAGAGCUUCUUUUUCUUGUUGACUGUUUGUUCUAUUCUACUGUCUAUAAACAUUAUAUGUAGAUAUUAUAUUGUUCUCCAUCACAUCACUCCAACUACUGCAUUCUACUUAUGCAGGGAUAUUUUUUACAUAAAGUUAGUCAUUAGUGUAUUAAAGAUGUUAUUAAUUUAUAUAAAUUUUCCUGUAAAAUAAGCAUUUACACACAAUAUUGGGUUGUGUGACUAUAUUGUUUGAGAAACUAUGAGGCUCUGAUUAAUGCAGUAUUUUACUUUAAAUUGUAAAAAUAUUUACUUUUCUCCUGAAACCCACAACGUUUUCCUUAUUUACAUAUUGUGUCCAUUGCAGGAUAAAAAAAAAAAGUAAAUGUUUUGAGAAAAGUGUUUAAUAGUACUAGAUUUAUCAGUUUAGUGAAAAAUAAUUUCAGAAGUUAUAGAAAGAUUACAAGAAAUCUGUAUUGGAAAUGUCCUUAAGUUUACAUUCUAGUAAUUAACAAAGUUUUUGUUUUUCUUCCUGUCUGAUAUUGUUGGUAAUAAAAAUGUGUCUCUACAAGAACAGUACAUCAGUAUGACAGGCAAGAAUAUCAGGAGUGCCACUUAGGUAGAGCAAGGGGGCUUAAUACAAUUUUUUUUUUAUUUGGGAACAAUAUAUAUAUAUAUAUAUAUGAUGAAUAAUUUGAGAGGUUUAAAUAGUUAUUAACUAAUAUAGGAAAUAAUCUGAGCAAAUGCUCACAAAAUAUUUUUUACAUUUUAACCUUUGAAAACCAAUGUCCAUUCAGGGGCCUAAAAAAUCCCCAGGACCUCCAAUAAAAGUUACUCCACCCUCUAUGGUAAUCUUACAUGGUGCUCCUGAAGAACACAAAGACAUUUUCCUAGGUAUUUCUGUAAGUUUUCUCCAUUUUACUGAUUAUUUUACAUGUCGGCUAUGUAAUGUUAUGUAAAUGCAUGGUUUGUGUAUCGGUAAAAUUUUGAUAUGUAAGUAUGUCACUUUAUAUACACUUAAUCAUCUUGUUACACAAUUUAGAGACAUUGUAUUUAUGGAUUGCAAGUAUUGACCAAAACAAUUAUUUUCCAUCUCCAAAACCUAACAACCUUGCAGCAGCCAGUAGCUCAGUCUGUAGGCUUAUAACACUAAAAAUCAGGUUUCAAUACCCAUAGUGGGAACAGCACAGAUACCCUAUUGUGCAACUUUAUUCUUAAGAACAAAGAAACAAGUAUUUCAAGGAUCGCUUUUAAUAAACAUUUUAAUAUUUCAAUGCUUCAUAAACUUUUUAGAAUAUAAUGUUUUUCUUGAGUAUAUUGUCAUUGCUUGUUACAUAUAGGUGGCAUUACAAGCAAUACCAUACAUGUUGUGGAAUAUUUGGAAACUAAGUGUUUGGGUAAUUUUUCUUUGUAAAGAUUUUAUUUGAUGAGGUCAACCUGGCAGGAAUCAAGUAUGAUCAACAUGUAUAUAUGGUUCCCCAAAGUAUGUUGAUAAAUGAGUUAGUUGACAUCACCUAGUUAUUGCUUUAUUGCCCAAAUUUCUUAAAAGUGUAUGAUGUAUAUUUGCUUUCACAAAGCUUUAAACAACAAUAUAAAAAGUGCUAAUAAAUGGCUUUUUUGUCAAAA